AUGCCGGGAUGGGAGCGGGUUGCUGGAGGCCGCCGCGGGGCUUUGCCAGGCUGUGCGGCGGAGCUGGCUCGGUGCGGCACAGCAGCCGCGUCCUCCCUGCUCCCCCUCGCUCUCUCCUGCUUUGGUUUUAUUAUUAUUAUUACUAUUAAUUGUUAUUAUUAUUUGCUGAGCCCUCAUCUCUGUGGGAUUCCUGACCGGGUUGCGUUUCCCAAUCCCUUUCACCUGCCAGCAGUUCCCCCCCCUCCUCCUCCCUUUUGGAGAAUAUCGUGGCCGGAGACGAGGAGGAAGAGGAGGAGGAAGAAGGGGAAGAGGGGACGAGGACAGAGAAUGGGGAGGGGGGGGGGUGGGAAGAGGUUACCCGCCCCUCUAAGCCCCCUUGUAGCCGUGCAAUUAGGAGAGAGCAGUCCACCUCUCGCCACCCGUCCGUCCGUCCAUCCGUCUCCUCGGAAGGCAUGGGGAGGAGAGGCAGGGAUACUCACGGGGAGGGAUGCGGGGAGCCGCAGCAUAUCCGGCUCAGCACUGCCUCUUCCUCGCUGCUGGAGCCAGGGGAGGAGGGGACGGCAGCGCCGGGGGGGCUCCCCAGCAAGGGGGGGCAUGCAGAGGUGGGGGGGUCAACGGGCAGCACCCCCAAAUGUGCUCCAUGUGGUAGGGCGACGAGGACGUGGCGUGGCAGAAGCGAGGUGGGGCAAAAAGUGCCAUCCGUGCCCUUGUGUGGAUGGAGAAGGGAUAAAUCCUGCAGGCACCGAGCACCUCAUGGUGUUGGCUGCGGGAUGCAGGGCGCGUGGCCGCGUUAGGGGAGGGCGGUGGGGAUGCCACGAAGACCGGAGUCGCCCAGGAGGACCUGGCCGUGCCCGGGCUUGGCACGGGAUCAGCAAAAGGGUUUCUGCCUCCAGUUGCCAACCGUCCCAGGAGCCAAAACCUGGGGUGCUGAGGCUGCUUCCCCUGGGGAUGCGGUGUCGGAGAGCAGCGAGUGUGGUGCAGGGACGGCGUGCAGGACAUCGGGAGGACGUGGUGGUGGCACAGGGACACAACGUGCCACCCCACAGCCCAGCCCUGUGCAGGUGGAUUUGCGGUGGCAGCUAG
rnacentral:lncRNA from 1 species